rnacentral:rRNA from 1 species
GGGAAACCGGAGCUAAUACCGGAUAAUAUAUUGAACCGCAUGGUUCAAUAGUAGAAAGACGGUUUUGCUGUCACUUAUAGAUGGAUCCGCGCCGCAUUAGCUAGUUUGUAAGGUAACGGCUUACCAAGGCAACGAUGCGUAGCCGACCUGAGAGGGUGAUCGGCCACACUGGAACUGAGACACGGUCCAGACUCCUACGGGAGGCAGCAGGC